rnacentral:rRNA from 1 species
UACGUAGGGAGCAAGCGUUGUCCGGAAUCAUUGGGCGUAAAGGGCGCGUAGGUGGCUUCGUAAGUCCGUUGUGAAAGUCAAAGGCUCAACCUUUGAAAGCCGAUGGAUACUGCGGAGCUAGAGUACGGAAGAGGCGAGUGGAAUUCCUGGUGUAGCGGUGGAAUGCGCAGAUAUCAGGAGGAACACCGAUGGCGAAGGCAGGUCUCUGGGCUGAAACUGACGCUCAUGCACGAAAGCGUGGGGAGCAAACAGG